rnacentral:rRNA from 1 species
GUCGGACGGGAUUGAGGAGCUUGCUUCUCAUGAGAGUGGCGCACGGGUGCGUAACACGUAUGUAACCUACCUUGUUCAGGGGGAUAGCCUCUCGAAAGAGAGAUUAACACCGCAUAAAAUCAAUUUAUGGCAUCAUAGAAUGAUCAAAUAUUUAUAGGAACAAGAUGGGCAUGCGGAACAUUAGCUAGUUGGUAAGGUAACGGCUUACCAAGGCUACGAUGUUUAGGGGAUCUGAGAGGAUGACCCCCCACACUGGUACUGAGACACGGACCAGACUCCUACGGGAGGCAGCAGUAAGGAAUAUUGGUCAAUGGACGCAAGUCUGAACCAGCCAUGCCGCGUGCAGGAAGACGGCCCUACGGGUUGUAAACUGCUUUUGUACCGGAAUAAACCUUUUCACGUGUGAGAAGCUGAAUGUACGGUAAGAAUAAGGAUCGGCUAACUCCGUGCCAGCAGCCGCGGUAAUACGGAGGAUCCAAGCGUUAUCCGGAUUUAUUGGGUUUAAAGGGUGCGUAGGUGGCCUAUUAAGUCAGGGGUGAAAGACGGUAGCUUAACUAUCGCAGUGCCUUUGAUACUGAUGGGCUUGAAUACACUUGAGGUAGGCGGAAUGUGACAAGUAGCGGUGAAAUGCAUAGAUAUGUCACAGAACACCAAUUGCGAAGGCAGCUUACCAAAGUGUUAUUGACACUGAGGCACGAAAGCGUGGGGAUCAAACAGGAUUAGAUACCCUGGUAGUCCACGCCCUAAACGAUGAAUACUCGAUGUUGGCGAUAUACGAUCAGCGUCUAAGCGAAAGCGUUAAGUAUUCCACCUGGGGAGUACGCCCGCAAGGGUGAAACUCAAAGGAAUUGACGGGGGCCCGCACAAGCGGA